rnacentral:rRNA from 1 species
AUUGAACGCUGGCGGCAGGCCUAACACAUGCAAGUCGAGCGGAGCGGCGGACGGGUGAGUAAUGCCUAGGAAUCUGCCUGGUAGUGGGGGAUAACGUCCGGAAACGGGCGCUAAUACCGCAUACUAUCAGAUGAGCCUAGGUCGGAUUAGCUAGUUGGUGGGGUAAAUGCCUACCAAGGCGACGAUCCGUAACUGGUCUGAGAGGCUGAUCAGUCACACUGUAGCUGAUAAACGGUCGAGACUUCUACGAGAGGCAGCAGUGGGGAAUAUUGGACAAUGGGCGAAAGCCUGUUCGAGCCAUGCCGCGGGUGUGAAGAAGGUCUUCGAAUUUUAAAGCACUUUAACGUGUGAGGCGGUACCAACAGAAUAAUCCCCGGCUGACUUCGUGCCAGUAGCCGCGGAAGUAC